rnacentral:rRNA from 1 species
AGUGAACGCUGGCGGUAGGCCUAACACAUGCAAGUCGAACGGCAGCACAGUAAGAGCUUGCUCUUACGGGUGGCGAGUGGCGGACGGGUGAGGAAUACAUCGGAAUCUACUUUUUCGUGGGGGAUAACGUAGGGAAACUUACGCUAAUACCGCAUACGACCUACGGGUGAAAGCAGGGGAUCUUCGGACCUUGCGCGAUUGAAUGAGCCGAUGUCGGAUUAGCUAGUUGGCGGGGUAAAGGCCCACCAAGGCGACGAUCCGUAGCUGGUCUGAGAGGAUGAUCAGCCACACUGGAACUGAGACACGUUCCAGACUCCUACGGGAGGCAGCAGUGGGGAAUAUUGGACAAUGGGCGCAAGCCUGAUCCAGCCAUACCGCGUGGGUGAAGAAGGCCUUCGGGUUGUAGAGCCCUUUUGUUGGGAAAGAAAAGCAGCAGGUUAAUACCCCGCUGUUCUGACGGUACCCAAAGAAUAAGCACCGGCUAACUUCGUG